UACGUAGGGGACGAGCGUUGUCCGGAAUUACUGGGCGUAAAUGGCGCGCAGGCUGUAGAUCAAGUCAGCUGUGAAAUGUCUGGGCUUAACCCGGGCAUGAGGUUGAAACUGAUGUACUGGAGUGCUGUAGAGGCAAGUGGAAUUCCCAGUGUAGCGGUGAAAUGCGUAGAUAUUAGGAGGAACACCAGUGGCGAAGGCGGCUUUCUGGCCGACAACUGACGCUGAGGCGCGAAAGCGUGGGGAGCAAACAGGAUUA
rnacentral:rRNA from 1 species